rnacentral:lncRNA from 1 species
CUGCCAGUGACGUUGUGGGCUGCAGCGCUGCAGCACCCAACGCAGUGAGUGUGCUGUGACCUCCUGCGUGGCCUCGUCCCUGGUCUUAGUUUCCACCGGGCAGUGGGAGUCAGGACCGCCUGUCCUCAGGCCCCUCCUCAGCGACUGUAGCGGCUGCAGGUUGCACGCCAGGGCCUGUACUUACCACCACCACGUGCCACGGGACUCUAAGGAGGAAUGGCGGCCGUGGGCAGCCUGCUUGGCCUGCUGAGGCAGAGCACCGUGAAGGCCACCGAACCUGCACUCCGCCACCUGCACACAUCCUCCUGGCAGGCCGACAGCAGCAGGGCCUCACUCAGUCGUGUGAACCGCCAAGCUUAUGCACGACUCUACCCUGUACUGCUGGUGAAGCAGGAUGGCUCCACCAUCCACAUCCGCUACAGGGAGCCGCGGCGCAUGCUGGCGAUGCCCAUAGAUCUGGACACCUUGUCUCCUGAGGAACGCCGGGUCAGGCUGCGGAAGCGUGAGGCUCAGCUCCAGCCGAGGAAGGAUGGACUAGCAGGGUGAGGGUUGGUUUAGAUCAAACCUGUGGGCUUUGGACACUGCUCUGGGGCUGUGGUGCCCACGAACAACUGUGUAGGCAGUACCCAAUACCUCCAAGCUCUAAGCUGUGCCUUCCCAGCCUCAGAGGCACCAAGGCGACUGCCCUCCUGACAGCACAGUGGCCCUCAGGUUGGUUCCUAGGAGGGCCUGGGUGUUCUGGGACUCAGGCAUCAACCUUGGUGGGGCAGCCCUAGGACCAUCUGGACCACAGCCUGCAGCUCCCUGCCCUGGCCCUGCAUUCCCAGGCUGCCCCAGGGAAGGUCCUGCCCUGGGAGGGUCCCCAGAGGAGCAGCCAGCCCUGGUUGUCCUUGACUGCUAAUGGGGUCUGAAAAGCACAACCCAGGGAGAUCCACAGACCCUGCUCCAUCUGUCCAGAGGCUGAUUUCACUUAGGACCAGCUCCAGCUGAUGUGCAGGUACUUUCACACACACAUCAGCCCAGGUUUUGGACAGCUCAGGGCCCGGACUGCUUCCUGUCCCUGUCCUGGGGUGUUACUGGGUCCCAGCUGGCAGGCUGUCUCACUGACACCUGGAGUGCCCAACAAACACUUCUUGCAGUGGUGUUCUGGGAUUGCCAGGCAGGUCAGAGUGUGCUGUCGUGCCCCUGUGAUGACAGUGCUUGUAACUGAGGAGCCUGGGCAGUGUCCGCACCUCACAGGCCCUUCCCUUGUCCCUUAAGUUUGUUCCUGGCCCUCUGCUCAUCCUGCCGGCCUUCAGCUCUGCUGAGAAGAGCCUGCAAGGGAUGUCCCCUGUCCCUGUGACCCAGCAGUGCCUGACCUCACAUGGAUGGGCUGUGUGGCCGCCUGGGACUCUGCCUUGCAGGGUUACUUCCUGAGCAGCCUCCCUGGAGCCCCCGUCUCUGAAGUUGUGGCUCAAUCCCUGUGGCAUAUAGAGCCAGCUGCCCGGCCACACUGUGCAGUCACUUGGCCCCCUCCUCCAGUGUACCCAGCCUCCUCCCUCUAUAGUGGGUUCCCCUGGGAACUCCACUGCCCCUCUACUUACUCCCUCACCUCCACCCUCCUGGGUCCAGCUUUGCUGCUGUCACAGAGGACACCACUGUGAUCAGUGCCCCCAGCUGGGACUCCACCCAGCAGGCACAGGCCAUGCAACCUCCACUGCGGUGACCCCUCCUCCUGUGGCCUAUGGCUUGUCAGGCUAAUGGGCCCAAAACUAACCAGGUCUUCCCCAGAAACCUGGUCCUCUUGUUGACAGGUGGCUGCUUCAUCCUCACAGUUGCCCAGACCAGAGCCUCAGAGCUGUCCUGGACUCUUCCCCAACGUCCACCUGGCCCUGCUAUCCCCUCUCCACCACACCUGAUAUCCAGUCAGUGUUCACACUCCACAGCCGGGCCCUGCCCACAUGGCCGAAGUCCACCCUGGCCUGGCAAGCCGCAAUUGCACCCAGGAGUUGAUGCCCUACACCCAAGGAAGCCUUCCCAGGAGUGGGCCAGUCACCUUCUGUGUGCCAGGCUGUGGCCUGCUGCUCU